rnacentral:rRNA from 1 species
GAUGAACGCUGGCGGCGUGCUUAACACAUGCAAGUCGAACGAUGAUGCCCAGCUUGCUGGGUGGAUUAGUGGCGAACGGGUGAGUAACACGUGAGUAACCUGCCCUUGACUCUGGGAUAAGCCUGGGAAACUGGGUCUAAUACCGGAUACGACCAUCUGGCGCAUGUCAUGGUGGUGGAAAGCUUUUGUGGUUUUGGAUGGACUCGCGGCCUAUCAGCUUGUUGGUGUGGUAAUGGCCUACCAAGGCGACGACGGGUAGCCGGCCUGAGAGGGUGACCGGCGACACUGGGCCUGAGACACGGCCCAGACUCCUACGGGAGGCAGCAGUGGGGAAUAUUGCACAAUGGGCGCACGCCUGAUGCAGCGACGCCGCGUGAGGGAUGACGGCCUUCGGGUUGUAAACCUCUUUCAGUAGGGAAGAAGCGAAAGUGACGGUACCUGCAGAAGAAGCGCCGGCUAACUACGUG